rnacentral:lncRNA from 7 species
AGAAAUGGCGAAUAUCAUGGCCAAGGGGGAGUUGGUCACCUCCCCUUUAUUUUUAUGAAAAAUCUGAAAUUGCUCUUGAAGAACUGCAUGUGGUCAGGAUGUCAACUUGAGCUAUACACAAGAAAGCCGGCUCAGGAGAUAAAGCAGCAACUCGAAGGCCGUGCUGCAAUGCUGACAGCACAGUGACUCAGAGAGGUGCCACCCACUGAACCUCCUUGGAUGCUGGGCUCCACCCAGCAGCCUCCUUGGGUGAAAAGUCGUUACGAAUUCCAUCCAAGAUUCUUCCAGAUUUCUGGUGAAAAACAGCCAAAAAUCCAGAUAAAAUGGUAUUUCAUGUAGAAACACAAUGUUCAGACAGGAAAGAAUACAGAAUAGCUGGAAGGCUCAGCAUCGUAUUGCAAGUCCCUGGGAGCUUCAUUUCAAUUUCUGAGAAGUGUUUCCUUCAGGUUUGAACAGAUCCAGGAAACGUGGCUCACCUGAUACACACCAAGGCUUGCUCUUUGUUUCUUGGCUUUGUAUAAAUAUUAGUAUCGAGACCUUUCAGACUGCACCCUGAAAAUCCUAUUUACUUGCUGCUUCUGCACAGCACCGGGUUUCAGAAUGUGAAGGUAGGGCUGUUUGGGUUACUUUAACACAGGGCUGAACUGCUACGGGUGCUUAUGAAAAAUUAGAAGCAGCAAAACCUGAGAUACAGCACUGCCCUCCAAACCCUUUCCUCUACAACGACACACAGAGCGCUGUGCUGCAGAGCAGAACCGCCAGGUGGGACCAGGACAGAGAUAAGGCUACACGUUGUCUGAUCUCAAUCUCCUGCUUCCUGGAAGCAAUACCGAACUGAGGAAUCAAGCGUUUAUUUGCUGUUUAAAUGAAAAGCGUUGUGAAACACAACAGCUGAAGGCAUUUUCCCCCAAUUACUGGGAGUUUUCUGCCACCAGGUGGCAAUACAACCACAGCCAGCACCCCCGGCUCCGGUUUUAUUUCCCUCCUCCUCAAACAAACAAAUAAACAGACAAACAAAAUCCAAUUUCAGUGGCACCCACAAACGCUAUACUG